GCGGCCGUGAUGGAAUUUGGUCAGACAUGCUGGGUUUAGGUCCCAGUGGGUUAACACCCGUGUGGGUUCGAGUCCCACCGGCCGCACC
rnacentral:tRNA from 1 species